rnacentral:rRNA from 1 species
AUACAUGCAAGUCGAACGAGGUCUUCGGGCCUAGUGGCGCACGGGUGAGUAACAUGUGGGAAUCUACCUGAAGGUUCGGAAUAACUGCGGGAAACUGUAGCUAAUACCGGAUGUGUCUGCAAAGAGAAAGAUUUAUCGCCUUCAGAUGAGCCCGCACUAGAUUAGCUAGUUGGUAAGGUAAUUGCUCUACCAAGGCUACGAUCUAUAGCUGAUUUGAGAGGAUGAUCAGCCACACUGGGACUGAGACACGGCCCAGACUCCUACGGGAGGCAGCAGUAGGGAAUAUUGGACAAUGGGGGAAACCCUGAUCCAGCAAUGCCGCGUGAGUGAAGAAGGCCUUCGGGUUGUAAAACUCUUUCAUCAAUGAUGAUAAUGACAUUAGUUGAAGAAGAAGCUCCGGCUAACUUCGUGCCAGCAGCCGCGGUAAUACGAAGGGGGCUAGCGUUGUUCGGAAUCACUGGGCGUAAAGCGUAUGUAGGCGGAUCAAAAAGUUAGAUGUGAAAUCCCUGGGCUCAACCCAGGAACUGCAUUUAAAACUAGAGAUCUAGAAAUUGGUAGAGGUUAGUAGAAUUUCCAGUGUAGAGGUGAAAUUCGUAGAUAUUGGAAAGAAUACCAGAGGCGAAGGCGACUAACUAGGCCAUUUUUGACGCUGAGAUACGAAAGCGUGGGUAGCAAACAGGAUUAGAUACCCUGGUAGUCCACGCAGUAAACGAUGAGUGCUAGUCGCUGGGACAAUAGUUUCAGUGUCGAAGCUAACGCAUUAAGCACUCCGCCU